rnacentral:lncRNA from 1 species
UGCAUCUCACCAUAUCACACCAUAUAAAGAGUGCUUGUUUAAUCCCUUACAACUUGAGGGUUGUGAGAGAAAUAAGGUCCAAGUACCUACAUGUGGUAGAUGUGAAGUUACACACAAAGGAACAACUGUCAUACUGUGAGAUCAUAGGCUUAAGAAUGUUCUAUAUGUUCCUGAUUUUAAGUACAACUUGUUGUCAGUGUCAAAGAUGACAAAAGAUCUCUGCUGCUCAGUAUGUUUUUACCCAGAUUUUUGUGUUUUCUAGGACCUUUACUCUGGCAAGGUCUUAGGGAUUGGUAGAGAAAACAAUGGUUUAUACGUGCUGAAGGAUGACGCAACAAGACAUCCUGUAGUAGGUUCAACAAUUUAUAAAGAAGUUGAUGGUGCAAUGUGGCAUAUGAUAUUAGACCAUCUAUCCAUUAGUAUUCCAAGUUGCAUUCCCAUUAUUCAGAAUGAAAGAGAAGCACACAAACUAUGUGAGAUGUGCCUAUUAUCCAAGCAAACAAGGUCACAGUUUCCUGUUAGUAACUCACAUUCUAAUAGCAUUUUGCAGUUGAUACAUGUUGAUGUAUGGGGUCCUUUUAAGGUUUCCACUUAUGACAGAAAAUAUUACUUUGUUACCAUUGUUGAUGACUAUAGUAGAUAUACGUGGACAUGUUUGGUUCAGUAUAAGUCUGAAGUGAUUGUUGUUCUGAAAGAUUUUUUGUUAAAAGUAAAGAAUCAGUUUGGUACUACUGUGAAGACAUUAAGAUUAGACAAUGGUAGAGAGUUUUUCAAUUCUCAGUGUUCUGAUUUACUUUCAUCCUUAGGCAUUAUUCAUCAAAGCUCUUGUCCAUACACACCCCAACAAAAUGGGAUGGUGGAGAGAAAACAUAGACACAUUCUUGAGGUAGCUAGAGCUCUUAAAUUUUAGAGUUCCAUCCCUAAUAGUUUCUGGGGAGAUUGUGUUAUAACUGCAACAUAUCUUAUAAAUAAAUUGCCUACACCAAUUUUGCAAGGAAAGUCUUCUUAUACAAUUUUAUAUAAGAAACCUGUAGUAUAUGAUCACUUAAGGGUCUUUGGUUGCUUAUGUUUUGCAUCUACUUUACCUAAAGAAGAUAAGUUUGAACCAAGAUCCAAAAGAGCAGUUUUUAUUGGUUAUUUUGAGACUCAAAGGAAUAUAAGUUAUUUGAUCUUCAACAGAACACAUGUUGGGUCAGUAGAGAUAUGGUAUUCAGAGAGGACGUCUUUCCUUUAAAGGGAAUCACAUAUGAAGGAACCACUAUUUUUUAUGUUCCACACUCUGUCAAUGAUCAUCACCAUCCUGACCCUUCUCCAAUACCCAUGCCUGCAUCAUAUGCCCCUGUAUAUAAUAAUCCUGCUAGCUUUUCUGGUGUUCCAGAAGUUGCAAAUAAUACGCAACAUUCUACAGUUGAAGCUGAUGAAGUGUCACCAGUGGAACAUUCAUUUCCACCUGUUCCACACCCAGCAGACUUGAGAAGGACAACAAGGAGUGCCAAUCUGCCAAUAUGGUUAAAGGAUUAUGUAACUACUAAAUCUGGUGGUAAGUCUGGAGGUGUGACCCUUUAUUCUAUCUCAGAUGUGUUGUCUUAUGAUAAUGUCUCACCAGCAUACCAAGCCUAUCUGCAAGCCUUUUUAGCUCAAAUUGAACCACAAAAUCUUAAAGAAGCCGCAAAAAAUGAACACUGGAUUAAGGCUAUGUAGCUUGAAAUUCAAGCCUUGGAGGAAAAUCAGACUUGGGACCUGGUCCCUCUGCCACCAGGGAAACAUGCCAUAGGUUUUAAAUGGGUAUACAAGAUUAAAUAUAAAGCUGAUGGAAGCAUUAAAAGAUACAAGUCUAGAUUAUUUGCGAAGGAUACAAUGAGCAGGAAGGUUUGGAUUAUCAUGAUACCUUCUCACCUGUUGCUAAAAUUAUGACAGUCAGAGCUGUGAUAAGCCUGGCAGCCUCCAAGAAGUGGGACAUCUUCCAAAUGGAUGUAAAUAAUGCUUUCCUACAAGGAGAUCUUUAUGAAGAUGUAUACAUGGAAUUGCCUCAAGGAUUUCAGAGACAAGGAAGUAAACUGGUAUGCAAACUGAAAAAAUAUUAUAUGGACUCAAACAGGCUUCCAGAUAGUGAAAUAUUAAGCUCACAAAUGCAUUAAUUGCUGGUGGCUAUACACAAAGCAGCUAUUAUCACUCACUAUUUAUUCAGAGAUCAGGAUAUGAUAUUGUAGUGGUCUUGGUUUAUGUUGAUGAUCUGCUUAUCACAAGGAGUAACUCUACUCUAAUUUAGCAUGCAAAAGACACAUUGAACAAGGCAUUCAAGGUGAAAGACUUGGGCCAAUUAAGAUUCUUCUUGGGGAUUGAAGUACUCAGGUCUGACAAAGGUAUAUUUCUCAACCAAAGAAAGUAUGUGUCGGAACUGAUCUCACAAAUUAGCCUGAGUGGGUGAAAACCAUCUCCAACACCAUUAGAGGUCAAUAAGAAAUUAACUUCUAUAGAGUAUGACCUCCAAGUUGGUCCAUCUGAUGAUCCAGAAAUAGAUGACAUACUUGGUUAUCAAAAGCUGGUUGGAAAAUUGUUUUACCUCACUAUUACAAGGCCAUACAUUUGCUUUGCAGUACAAACAUUAACCCAAUUUAUGCAGAGACCUAAAAAGUCUCACAUGGAUGGUGCACUAAGGGUGGUGAGGUAUCUGAAGGGUAAUCCUGGACUUGGAAUUUUACUUAAAGAAGAUGAGAUCACAUCUAUGACUGACUUCUGUGACUCUGAUUGGGCAUCUUGUCCCAACACUAGAAGCUCAGUUUCAGGGUAUAUAGUCAUGAUGGGUGAUUCUUUGGUUUCUUGGAAAUCUAAGAAACAACAUACAGUGAGCAGAAGCUCAGUAGAAGCUGAGUAUAAGAGCAUGGCAGGUGCAACUGCUGAAGUGAUAUGGCUGACUGGUUUAUUGCCAGAGCUUGGAGUGACCUUAACCAUGCCUGUGAAGUUGUUUUGUGAUAAUAAAGCUGCACUACAAAUUGCUGCUAAUCCUAUUUUUCAUGAGAGAACUAAGCACAUAGAAAUCGAUUGUUAUUUUGUCAGAGAAAGAAUCAAAUCAGGUUUACUGCAACCAGUUCAUGUCCCCUCCAACAUUCAACUAGCUGAUCUCAUGACUAAAGGACUUCCAGCAGCUCAACAUCAGUUUCUUCUUUCCAAGCCGAGAGUCCUUGAUGUUUUCCGGUCACCAGCUUGAGGGGGAGUAAAGAGACUAGUCAGUUAGAUUGUUGUAGUUUGUUAGAAAAAGAGUGGUGUACAGCUGGUGUACAACUGUCAAGUUAGUGGAGUUGGAUGUUAGUGGAGUCGGUUAUUUUUCUAAAUAAGUAGCAAUUGCAUCACUAACAAUGUAAUCAGAACAAAUCAUUUUUCAAUCAAUAAAGCUUGUUCAUUCCUCUAAGAACCAUAUCAACGAACUUGGUUCAAUAGCUCUAGGGAUUUUAUCAAGCUACGUAUUUACCAUGUUAGAAAAAGCUUGAAGACUAUACUUCACAGGAAAAUGACGGUGCGAAUAAUAGUAUAUUUCCAUAGUAUCUGAGUCAGUGGACUCAGAUAUACCAGCAAUCGGUCGUUGGUCCCUUGGUUGAAAGCACUAAUUUAUAUAUUUAUUUAUUUAUAAGUUAAUGGUCAGAAAUAUAUUAAAAUUAUUAUAGAUUUUUCAAAAACUUUUAUACCUCAUUCAUUGUUUCAUUUACUUAUCUAAACAGUCACUACUAUCUUAAAACACACUUCAAUGUUGAGUUAAUCAAAUAUUUGAUCCAUAUAGUUGAGGUAUGGACUGUACGAAAAGAUGAUAUUUAAGUAGGGGAAUAGAAAAAUGGAUAGUUGAAAUGUGAAACUGGCGAAAAAGUGAUGUUUAAACAUUAUUUUUAAUUACAUUUAUGAAAACGAAUAAUUCGGUAUGGCUAUAAAUUUAUAUAGAAACUUAUAAUUUUCCUUAACCCCGCCCCCCCCCCCCGCGGCCCCCUCUAAAUAAUUGGUUUGAUUUAAUUCGACAGGUUAAAGUCGAUUUUUAGAAAAUCAUUUAACACUCUAGGAAGUAUUAGGUAAUGCUUUAUUUUCAAAGACGUAUAUCCUCCAAAGAGCUUUAUUCAUAUUUUACUUAACGAGGUACUAUGAAGAUAUGAAAGAGAUCAAAAGGAAAUUAUAUAUGUGCGUAUAAAUAGCUGCGUGUAACCAACCACUUGGAUACUGGGGCAUUGAGAAGCAAGGAUACUUCCAUAAGCAAAAAGUCAUAUUGUCUGUGAUAUAUGAAUCUAAAGCAAAAAGUCAUGUUGUCCGUGAUAUAUGAAUCUAAUGGUAGAAAAUAAUAUCUGUGAUAUAUGAAUCUGAUGGUAGAAAAAUAAUCUAAUAUUGAAUACCCAUUAGAAACGUCUAUUAGAAAAUGACAAAAGACAGCCCAAAAGAACAAAUAAAAACUCAAGACUUAUUCUUUUACGCGUAAUAUUUGAUGAUUCAUGUGUGAUGCGGGAUGUUUUCUUUCCUGCUCUCGAAUUCUAUUGGGAGCUUUCAAGAGGAGCGGAACUAGCAUAUAAUUAGGGGUGCAGAUGAAUUCUUUCGAUGAAAAAUUAUAUUUUAGGAUGAAAAUUACUUUUUAUAAAUAUAUAACAGGGUAUGCAUGCAGAAUUUUAAUUCACUUAAUGAGUGAAAUAACCAUCAUCAUACCAAUAGUAUGGAUCAUCAUUACUAUUCACAUAUGAAUAGUCAUGAAUAAACCAUUGUUCUUGAACAGGAUAAUCUAUAAUUUUUUCAAGAAAAUCUUUAUUUAAUUUUAUCACCUUUAAAAUAGUGAUUAAAGUUUUUUCAUCUAAGAAAAUGGUAUAAUAACUCAUUAUACAAUAUAAAGAGUAAAUUUCUUUAUUAAAAGUUUGAUGCUUUUAUGCUGAAAUUCUCGUAUUUCUUUUCGCAUACGAGUUUUAUCAAGAGACCUGAAUAACAGUAUUUUUAAUCUGUUAAUUUCAGAAAUAUUUGAAGUACUUUUCAAUCGAUAGAUUUUUUGAUAAUAGUAUUUUAAUUUUGUUAUAUCUCUGUUAAGAGCUUCUAUGCUUGUUUUGGUUUCCCAAAAUCUUUUUCUAAGAUUCUUUAGUAGUGGUUGUACCACUCUCAUGAUGAUAAAUAUAGAUAAUUCAUGAUUUUAAUAUUCCCUAUAGGUACUUAGUAACACAUAAUAUGUAUGAGUGUACAAAGUAGAUAUGAAUAAAAAAUUUUCUUAUGUUAAUAUGUUCAUGAAAUGAUAGAGUUUAUACGUAUACCUUUUUGACUUUCUUUUAUAUUGGCUGUAUCAACAUCGUAGUGCUUCUCCUUCCGGCUAUGAAGAAUUAUUUAGCCUAUUGCGACUCACUGUCUCAGGCUAUUGUGCCGUUCUUCCUCCGUCGAGGCUGAAGAUUGCAACCUUCAUUUAUCACCAACAUAUAGAAAUGACAAAAGAUAUAUAAAACAAACUUUUUAUUUCAUGAAUAUAUUACAACACAGGAAAAAUCUUUAAUCAGAUCUUCCUUAUACUCACACACAAACUAUUUGUUACUUUUCCCUCGCGGGAGAAGUGUUUCUCACUCACUCAUAUAGAAGAUACCUAGUAUUUUCUAAGAAAGAGAUAUUCAGA